CUCUCUCUGCCUUCUCCUGGUGACUGCUUCUGUUUGGGGGUGAACCACACUGCUCCCACAUAGCUCCUCUUUGGGGGGAGUCGCUGCAGUCCUGCUCCACGCCUGAGCUGAUUUUCUAAAUGCGCCCCCACCCCCAGCCCCCAGCUACAAGAAACCGCUCAGUGUUUGGAGCUUUCAAAGCGUAUUUGCAUAGUGAUAGCCUUUCCGGGUCUCCCCGUGGCCUUUGCUGUGCUCAGCGGAACAUAGUGGAAGACUGAGAAGCGUUACACAAUAGAAGAGCUUUCCCUGCGUGGCUAGGGCGUCUCCUGUGUAUUGUCAGCCUGAGAUGCGCUUUUCCUUCCCCCACGCUGGAGGUGGGAUGCGGGCCCUGUGCAAGUCGGGCAGCGCUCUGCCGAAAGGCGUUUCACAGUCCUGAGUCGAUUCUGUGCGUGCAAGCUGAGAAGCUGAGUCAGCUAGUCCACUUGCUUUCCCUCGGUCACCUCAGCAGCACAUGCAACCAGGACGACAGAGGUCCAGUCUGCCUGGAAGACCCCACUGCUGGGCGAGCAGUCAUGGGAGAAUGACACACAAGAUCCUUCGGCAGACAUCUCUGAUGCCAAACGCCCCCACCAUGCUUCUGUCUGGACACACCUGCCAGGGGCAACAGAAUGACUGCCACCUUCUACAGGCUGCAGUGCAGGAUGCCGGGAGGUCAGAAGGCGAUGAACCACAAACAUUCUGAGAUGCCGCCGGUUCCUGCAGCAUGCCCAGCAGGCCUGGGUUCAAGUCGAGCCUCAAUGCUCCUGUGCAAGCAGCAGAGCCACACCUCUCUCAGGAGGCGGGGACUCAGAAAGAGGGACUGCAGGAAGGACCCAGGGAGGUCUCAGUGGACAGGAAGCACUAUUACUCUCCCAGAACAUCACCAUCCACACACCCAGCUCCCAGAGGGUGACGGUGUACCGGUCCCACAAAGACAGCCUGAGACGCAUUGCUGUCUGUCUCUGGUGUGGAAGGAGGCCCCAGCUAAAGGUAGCAGUGCACCGAGCUCACGGAGGCUGGACACUUGGAGCCUAGUCUACCGAUCCCAGGAAUGGAUGCCCUCUAUCCUCCCACAGUCUGCGAGACGUUAACUGUCUCACCCUUCUCAUGCAAGGACAGAAUCCUGCGCUGAGGCCUCACACGCCCUGGCAGAGGCCAGGACUGUCCUGAACCAGGCAGGGGGGUGGGCAUGAUCGCCCACAGACCCUCCAUAGGCUGUCUCCACUCCACAGGUGAAGGCAUAAAGGCCAGGAGAGGACACAGAGCAAGGACCUGGCACAGCAAAGGCUGGUGGUCCACAGGCCCGCACCAUCCCACGCCAGGUAGCAGUCCGCUGAUGGUAGCAGCCCGCUGAGCGUCCGCUACAUAUUUAAGUGAGGAUGAAAAACGCCAUUUGUCAUUAAUUAAGCGAGGCAGGACAGCAGCUGGGUUGGCUCAGGAAGGCGAUGCCAGUCUGAGGUUGGUUCUGCAUUUGGGGGACAGGCAGGGAGUCUGGAGGACAAGGCUGCUCCCCAGGUGCCUGUGGUGGGGCUGGACCUGGCCUUCCUGUCACCAGGAGGCCUUGCUUGCUCCAGCCUCAGGAUCUUGGCAUUGACGGCUCUUCCAGCCUGGACUGACGUCCCACACUUAGGAGUACCUGCAGGCCUCUGCCUCACCUUGGGCACUCACAGCCUGGAUGUCUCCUGCCCCCCAUCACUAUUCUGUCACCGCUGUGGUCUCUCCACAGCAGGCCAUCAUGACCUUGUCUACUUAUGCGGGGCUAGACACUGGAAAGAGAUCUGUCAGAAGUGGAAAGUCAGCCCCUCCAAACACCCUAAACACAGAGUAGGCUCCCAACACACACACACACACACACACACACACACACACACACACACACACGUGUGACGCCAUCUAUAAGUCACUUUGACUCUUUUUUAGCCCACCUCUCUCUUUGGUCCAUAGACGUAAACGUCAUUUCACCAGGGAGGAAAACUGAGGCAGGGUGGAGGUCGCCUCUCACAAGCCUCCAACUCAAGGCACCUGCAUGGACACCCUGAAUCUUACCUCAGGGUCACAGAGUCCAGCUGCAUGGCCAGAUGCCUGGACACGAAUCUAGGCUCUCCCUGGCUGAGGACCCUCUUGCAAGCAGGAGGCUAAGGCAGAAGUAGUGCCAGUUUGGGGCUAACCUGGCCUUCAGAGUGAAGGCCUGUCUCAAAAGCAAUCAGUUUGGGGCUAACCUGGCCUUCAGAGUAAACCCCUGUCUCAAAAGCAAUCGGUUGGAGGCUGGGGAAGUAGCUCAGUGGGUAAAGUGCUCACUGCACAAGCAUGAAGGUCUGAGUUCAAUCCCUACAGGUCACAUAAAAAGCCAGGGACCAUGGUGCACAUCUGUAAUCCCAGCUCUGCAGAGGCAGACAGCAGGGUCCUGGGACUCACUGGUCAGCGACUCUAUCAGCUCUGUGAGCUCCAGGUCAGUGAGAGCCUGACUCAAAAACUACAAUCUGGAGCAAUAGGGACACUCAAUGUCAGCCUCCGGCCUCCACAUCCCUUCACACAUGCAUGCCCACAUAUGCACCCCUCCCACAAGCACAAAUAAGUGAAUAAUGUGGAGAUCUGGGGAAGAAGACACUGACAUCAACCUUCACACGCAUGAGCACAUACAUAAGAACAUGUUCACAGGCUCGCAUACACAAAUUAGCUUUUAAAAAUCAAUUUUAUUUAAAAAAAAAGACAACAAAACAACAAAAAAUCCAAAGAGGUAAGUGCCGUUGUCCUUAUUUUACAAGCGGGGAAACAUAGGGAUAUGAUGCCACUUCAGAACAGAACUGAGCCUGAAUCCCAGGUCUAUCUAUGCCCAGAGGCCUUCCUGAUGGGGAAUUUGCAGAAACAGAGUGACAGCAGCCUGCCUCCAGCCUGAGACCCAACUCCUGUGAGAGGCUGUGCAGUGGAGACAGAGCGUGACUUCCCUAAGGCUCCUGGGCUGUGAGAUCGUCAUGGCGACAGCGGAACACAACAGCUAACAUCCACAAAGCCGUUCAGUACCUCUCGUCAACUCAGUCUUCCAGAGAUGUGGGAAGCAGAGGUCAUCCAAACACCUGGAUCCAGCUGUGCCUGAAGCAACCCAUCUCUAAAAUGUCUUUAAUGUGA